UACGGGAGGCAGCAGUGGGGAAUUUUGGACAAUGGGGGAAACCCUGAUCCAGCCAUUCCGCGUGUGCGAUGAAGGCCUUCGGGUUGUAAAGCACUUUUGGCAGGAAAGAAAUCGCACAAAUUAAUACUUUGUGUGGAUGACGGUACCUGCAGAAUAAGCACCGGCUAACUACGUGCCAGCAGCCGCGGUAAUACGUAGGGUGCAAGCGUUAAUCGGAAUUACUGGGCGUAAAGCGUGCGCAGGCGGUUCGGAAAGAGAGGUGUGAAAUCCCAGGGCUUAACCUGGGAACUGCACUUUUAACUCCCGAGCUAGAGUAUGUCAGAGGGGGGUGGAAUUCCGCGUGUAGCAGUGAAAUGCGUAGAUAUGCGGAGGAACACCGAUGGCGAAGGCAGCCCCCUGGGAUAAUACUGACGCUCAUGCACGAAAGCGUGGGGAGCAAACAGGAUUAGAUACCCUGGUAGUCCACGCCCUAAACGAUGUCAACUAGCUGUUGGGGGCUUCGGCCCUUAGUAGCGCAGCUACGCGUGAAGUG
rnacentral:rRNA from 1 species